GCAAAUGAAAUGGGCAAAGUAAAAACCGAAUUAGUGAGAAGGGGUCUUUAUUACCAUUAACACAACCCUGUGAAGAGAACGAAAAAAAAGAUAAAAAAAAAAUAAAAAUGGAAAUAAAGAGAGAGAGUGAGUUGGAAGAAGAAAGAAAAAGGGUAGAAUAGUAGUGCAUAGGAGAGACAAAACGGUGAGUAUUACCAAAAAGAGGAACAAAGAGAAAAGGUUGAAAAUGGCCUUUCACCGUCCUUCCCCAAACCCCAAAACCUCCUCAAUGCCUGCUGCAAAAAAUAAUACUCCACUCCCCAACCAAUCAUAUUUCCCAUUUUAGUAGAAUCGCUUCUCUCUCUCUCUCUCUCUCUCUCUCAAAAGUUUAGAGAGAGAGAGACAAGUAGUAUUAUUAAAUCCUAGAGUGAAAGAGGAAAAGGCGAAAAAGGACUUGGCUAUCAUUUUUGAUUCUGUUUGCAUAAUCAACAAUGGAUGUGGUGGUUGUUGUGGUUGUGGUGGUUCUUGUUUCAACUUCAACAGUAGCAUGCAAUGACGAUUAUACCCUUCCUCAAAAACAGAUGAGACAUCUCUUCGUUGCGUCCAAAAAGGCAGACAGGAUGGAGCCAGGCAUAACAUAUUAUCUACUACUAUAUUUAUAUAUAAUUAUUAUAUUUUCUUUCUCUUUUUGGAUUUUCAUCACCAACAACACUUUUUCCCUUUUCGCUCUUUUUUUUUUUUUUUUUGCUUUUUUUAUUCUAUGGUGUCUUGAGAUUUAAAGAAAGAAAGAAGAGAGCAUACAACCCGUCAUCAAUCAUGGUUUUUGUUAUCCCUAAACUACAAGGACAAAAUAUUGUAAUGACGAUUUUAUAACUUAUUGACUUCUUCUGAAUUGUAUGUAUCCUUAUUUUUCAUUAUACUGAUCACGAUGAUGAUGUA